GCUAAUACCGCAUACACUCUGAGGAGGAAAGUAGGGGAUCGAAAGACCUUAUGCUUUUGGAGCGGCCGAUGUCUGAUUAGCUAGUUGGUAAGGUAAUGGCUUACCAAGGCAACGAUCAGUAGUUGGUCUGAGAGGACGACCAGCCACACUGGGACUGAGACACGGCCCAGACUCCUACGGGAGGCAGCAGUGGGGAAUUUUGGACAAUGGGCGCAAGCCUGAUCCAGCAAUGCCGCGUGAGUGAAGAAGGCCUUCGGGUUGUAAAGCUCUUUCAGUUGAGAAGAAAAGAUUGUGACUAAUAAUUGCAAUUCAUGACGGUAUCAACAGAAGAAGCACCGGCUAACUACGUGCCAGCAGCCGCGGUAAUACGUAGGGUGCGAGCGUUAAUCGGAAUUACUGGGCGUAAAGGGUGCGCAGGCGGUUCUGUAAGUCAGAUGUGAAAUCCCCGGGCUUAACCUGGGAACUGCGUUUGAAACUC
rnacentral:rRNA from 1 species